rnacentral:rRNA from 1 species
CCCAGCACCGAAUCCUUCACCAUGUCGGUGACAGGAAAUGUGGUGUUUAGGCCGUACUUUGUCCCGAUACGUCUCUCCUCAAGUCCACUUGAUUGUGGCCCCAGGCCCAGAGAGGGUGUAAGGCCCGUGGAGGCGAGAUGUUCGGUACCUGGUGCGUCCUUAGAGUCGGGUUGUUUGGGAAUGCAGCCCUAAGCGGGUGGUAAACUCCAUCCAAGGCUAAAUACCAGCACGAGUCCGAUAGCGAAGAAGUACCGCGAGGGAAGGUUGAAAAGAACUUUGAAGAGAGAGUUCAAGAGUACGUGAAACCGCUGAGAGGCAAACUGGUGGAACUGAAAUGGCUCCGAGGAAUUCAGCCGUUGGUGUUUUCACAGCUGUUGAUGUUCGAUUUAACGACGGCUUCAUCAGUUGACGUUGAUAUCAUAGGUGCACUUUCCUCGUUUGUGGGCCCGACCACGAUCGGUGAGCUGCUUUGUCUGUCGUGCCUGGAAGGUAGCGCCAUCUUCGGACGGCGUGUUAUAGACAGGUGUACGGAGCAAUAUGGCGCACUGAAUGAUAACGCCUGCCCUUGGGCUCAUAUGUUGGUUGUUUCGUUGGCGAGUUCCGAUUUCACUACCUCGGUAGAGUCGUUGGUCUCUGUCGGCUUUACGGCUGGCCUCUAUGAUUGGCGUUGGUAAAUCUGUGGUUGUGAAGUAGGUAGUCCACCUGACCCGUCUUGAAACACGGACCAAGGAGUCUAACAUGUGCGCGAGUCAUUGGGUUUACGAAACCUAAAGGCGCAGUGAAGGUAAAGAUCUGCUUUUUGCAGGUUGAGGUGGGAUGCUGGGUCACGUGCCCGGCCGCACUACCGGCCCGUUCUACUUGUAUCUCAAGGGAGCGGAGCAAGAGCGUACACGUUGGGACCCGAAAGAUGGUGAACUAUGCUUGCGCAGGUUGAAGCCAGAGGAAACUC